rnacentral:misc_RNA from 1 species
UUUCCGUAGGUGAACCUGCGGAAGGAUCAUUACCGUUUGCUUGCGGCUGCCCCUCGGGGCGGCUCGUAACGCUCACCCUUUGCCCUUUUCGAACCUGUUCGUUCCCCCUCGCCGGGCUCGCCUGGCGGGGGUCCAUUCAAAAACCUUGUAGUUUACAGCAGUUUCUGUCUGAAUAUAUCAAUGUUAAAACUUUCAACAAUGGAUCUCUUGGUUCUGGCAUCGAUGAAGAACGCAGC